CAUGUGUGUUCGAUUACCUCGUGUACUUCCUCUUCGACUCCUGCUGUUGCGACCCAAAAGGGGCAGCGGUGGCCUUAUUCUCCACCUCCGCGUUUUCGAAGGACUAGAUGAUGGCAUCUGCAGCUGGAUUCAUCUCGCAGCUCGACGAUGUCAUUGGGUCCGAACCGAGCUCAGCUGCACUGUGACAUCCAGCCCGACCAGAAGGAUAUUCUAGAGGACUAGAUGGCUGAUACCGGCUAUCCAUCUCUGCUUCUGUGGUGCUGCUACAGUGAUGGCCUGGCCCUAGUGUGAUUUAUUAUUGAAUUUGCUUGUAAUGUUGACCUUGCAUCGUCUAUUUAUUUUUUGUAGUGUGGUUAGACUACUGUUGAUAAUUUGAUUUGUGUUGUGGAUGUUGAGAAAAAGAGUUUGAGUUGACGCAAAAAAAAUCUGGUGCUCCAUCUAAUUAACCGUUGGCGUAUCCCAAGGAUCAUGGAAGCUGAGCAUUGUAGAUUUUCAAGCAAUCAUAUGUAUGCUGGCUUCUUGUGCUAGCUGGUGCUGCGUGUUGUCAUAUUUUUAUAUCCAUAAUACUAGUACCUCUAGCCUUAUAUACUUGUCGCAGAUUUUGCAAAAUAUAGCCUAAAUUUUGUCUAGACUCUUUCAACCAGUUACAAUUAUAUAUUAGUAGCUGUGUAAACUCAAUUAUUAAUAAUUCAAGGUUGUGUGCUAUACCAUUGUAUAACUGAUGGAAAGAUGGUGUCACCAUUAUUCUGUAACAUGUAGCAGGUGCAAAGCCUUUUGCGAA